rnacentral:rRNA from 1 species
AGCAGCCGCGGUAAUUCCAGCUCCAAUAGCGUAUAUUAAAGUUGCUGCAGUUAAAAAGCUCGUAGUUGAAUUUCGGGAUCAAUAUGUUGGUCGUGCCUUGGUACGUACUAGCUCAUUGGUUUCUCCCUUCUGACGAACCAUGAUGUCAUUAAUUUGAUGUCAUGGGGAGUCAGGACUGUUACUUUGAAAAAUUAGAGUGUUUAAAGCAGGCUCGCGCUUGAAUACAUUAGCAUGGAAUAAUGAAAUAGGACAUUUGAUUCUAUUUUGCUGGUUUCUAGGAUCGAUGUAAUGAUUAAUAGGGAUAGUUGGGGGCAUUAGUAUUCAAUUGUCAGAGGUGAAAUUCUUGGAUUUAUUGAAGACUAACUACUGCGAAAGCAUUUG